AGGAUGCUUAUAGAAUUAUUCACACGUCUUUAAAAGCUCCAACAACGACAAAGGAUUUAAGCUGGAUGUGUCAAACUUCAGAAAAAACUUCAAAAGAAGUGAUCGCUGAUCAGAACCUACCGUGACCAUCCAGGUCUUUGUCCAGCGCGUUCUGGGUCGGGUCAGAGAUGUACCGGAGAGCGAUGCUGUUCUCUCUCACCGGAUGCCCAUUCUAAAAAUAACACACGUCAGACGGAUCAGUCUGGUUCAUUCUGGGAAAUACGGCGGCCAUCUUGGAGCGGUAUACCCUCCUACUUGGCUAAACCAAAACAGCAGAAGAAGAAGCCGGAUAUUUUUGUUCAGAUCGACGGACUAUUAACGUGAGAGCUCAGGGGGAAACGUUUCAUAGGUAAGAUGGACAUAUUAUUGUGUAUAUAUUGUAACUAGAAUAUUACUUUACUGUAUUUAUGUGCACCAGCCAGAUACCAGCUAAUAUUAGCUACAGUGUAUUACUGAGGUUCAGCCCCGCUAUGAAGAUAACCGAGAUUUAGUAAAGUUGAAAAAAGUUUUAAUUAUUCCCUAACAUUGAUUUAGAUCAUCCGACACAAGAGCCUACAUUAGAAAUAAAACAAUAUUAUGUUUAAUUAUAAAUAUUCGAAUGUCAUGUGUUAUAAC